CGUGUAGGUGGUUCUGUAAGUAGGGCGUGAAAGCUCCCGGCUCAACUGGGAGAGGCCGUUCUAAACUGCAGAACUAGAGGAUGGUAGAGGGAGGUGGAAUUCCAGGUGUAGCGGUGGAAUGCGCAGAUAUCUGGAGGAACACCAGUGGCGAAAGCGGCCUCCUGGACCAUUCCUGACACUCAGACGCGAAAGCUAGGGUAGCAAACGG
rnacentral:rRNA from 1 species